AAUCUUUUUUCUCCUUUGAAUUGUAACAGACUGUAUCGGUUACAUUUUUCUCUAUCAUACAAGUUGUGACUAUCAAAGAUAUAAUACCACUUCCUUAUAGGGAAACAUUUAAUGAUGUGUACAGGUAAAUUCAUUUUUUCUUAUUCCUUAUAUUGUUUCCCAGUUAUAUUUGUGUUGGUUUCAGAGUACAGGUAGUGAUAGAAAUUGCUGGUCGAUUGUGGCUUAUUGAGAAAGGGAUGAGUAACCAACAAUACAAAUAUGGGAGGCCUUCCUCAGGCGGCGUGCAGGGACGCCGUGCUAAGCGGGCGGGGCUAGUGCCAUGGCGGGAAAGGUGUCGUCGAGGCGAAUUAGAUGAAAGACAAAAAGAAAAUUGUUGCUAAUUUUUUUCCUUUCUUUUAUUUAUAAUGUUAAACUUAAAUGUAUUUAUGCGUGGAUGAAUGUAAUGUGGAUAAGAUUGUUUGUCUUUGGAUGGAUGUAGUUUAUGUUUGGAUGGAUUUACGUAGUUUGGGUUUAGAUGGAUGUGAAUGUGAAUAUGAUGAAAUAUAUUAUAUAACAGGUGUAUAUCAGGUGUAUUUGAAAAUUUCUGAUGGCUCUAGGCCGUUUAUA